UACGGAGGGUGCGAGCGUUAAUCGGAAUUACUGGGCGUAAAGCGCACGCAGGCGGUUUGUUAAGCUAGAUGUGAAAGCCCCGGGCUCAACCUGGGACGGUCAUUUAGAACUGGCAGACUAGAGUCUUGGAGAGGGGAGUGGAAUUCCAGGUGUAGCGGUGAAAUGCGUAGAUAUCUGGAGGAACAUCAGUGGCGAAGGCGACUCCCUGGCCAAAGACUGACGCUCAUGUGCGAAAGUGUGGGUAGCGAACAGG
rnacentral:rRNA from 1 species